GACGAACGCUGGCGGCGUGCCUAAUACAUGCAAGUAGAACGCACAGUUUAUACCGUAGCUUGCUACACCAUAGACUGUGAGUUGCGAACGGGUGAGUAACGCGUAGGUAACCUGCCUGGUAGCGGGGGAUAACUAUUGGCAACGAUAGCUAAUACCAUAUAAUAUUAAUUAUUGCAUGCUAAUUAAUUGAAAGGUGCAAUUGCAUCACUACCAGAUGGACCUGCGUUGUAUUAGCUAGUAGGUGAGGUAACGGCUCACCUAGGCGACGAUACUUAGCCGACCUGAGAGGGUGAUCGGCCACACUGGGACGGAGACACGGCCCAGACUCCUACGGGAGGCAGCAGUAGGGAAUCUUCGGCAAUGGACGAAAGUCUGACCGAGCAACGCCGCGUGAGUGAAGAAGGUUUUCGGAUCGUAAAGCUCUGUUGUAAGAGAAGAACGGGUGUGAGAGUGGAAAGUGCACACUGUGACGGUAUCUUACCAGAAAGGGACGGCUAACUACGUG
rnacentral:rRNA from 1 species